rnacentral:rRNA from 1 species
GACGAACGCUGGCGGCGUGCUUAACACAUGCAAGUCGAACGGAAAGGCCCUGCUUUUGUGGGGUGCUCGAGUGGCGAACGGGUGAGUAACCCGUGAGUAACCUGCCCUUGACUUUGGGAUAACUUCAGGCAACUGGGGCUAAUACCGGAUAGGAGCUCCUGCUGCAUGGUGGGGGUUGGAAAGUUUCGGCGGUUGGGGAUGGACUCGCGGCUUAUCAGCUUGUUGGUGGGGUAGUGGCUUACCAAGGCUUUGACGGGUAGCCGGCCUGGGAGGGUGACCGGCCACAUUGGGACUGAGAUACGGACCAGACUCCUACGGGAGGCAGCAGUGGGGAAUAUUGCACAAUGGGCGGAAGCCUGAUGCAGCAACGCCGCGUGCGGGAUGACGGCCUUCGGGUUGUAAACCGCUUUCGCCUGUGACGAAGCGUGAGUGACGGUAAUGGGUAAAGAAGCACCGGCUAACUACGUG